GACGAACGCUGGCGGCGUGCCUGACACAUGCAAGUCGGACGGUUCUUGUAUCUUCAAGCUUGCUUGCAGGUGCAAGGAUAGUGGCGGACGGGUGAGUAACGCGUGAACAUCUACCCAUUGGAGGGGGACAACCCGUCGAAAGGCGGGCUAAUACCGCGUAAGCCGCGAGGUGAGAGGCUGCCUAUUGGUGGCCGCCGAUGGAUGGGUUCGCGUCCUAUCAGCUGGUUGGUGGGGUAACGGCCUACCAAGGCGAAGACGGGUAGCCGGUCUGAGAGGAUGGCCGGCCACACUGGAACUGAGACACGGUCCAGACUCCUACGGGAGGCAGCAGUGGGGAAUAUUGGGCAAUGGGGGAGACCCUGACCCAGCGACGCCGCGUGAGGGAUGAAGGUUUUCGGAUCGUAAACCUCUGUUGUACGGGAAGAAGGAUGUGACGGUACCGUACGAGGAAGCCCCGGCAAACUACGUG
rnacentral:rRNA from 1 species